rnacentral:rRNA from 1 species
UGGGGAAUUUUGGACAAUGGGCGCAAGCCUGAUCCAGCAAUGCCGCGUGCAGGAUGAAGGCCUUCGGGUUGUAAACUGCUUUUGUACGGAACGAAAAAGCUCUCUCUAAUACAGGGGGUGAAUGACGGUACCGUAAGAAUAAGCACCGGCUAACUACGUGCCAGCAGCCGCGGUAAUACGUAGGGUGCAAGCGUUAAUCGGAAUUACUGGGCGUAAAGCGUGCGCAGGCGGUUUUGUAAGACAGAGGUGAAAUCCCCGGGCUCAGCCUGGGAACUGCCUUUGUGACUGCAAAGCUGGAGUGCGGCAGAGGGGGAUGGAAUUCCGCGUGUAGCAGUGAAAUGCGUAGAUAUGCGGAGGAACACCGAUGGCGAAGGCAAUCCCCUGGGCCUGCACUGACGCUCAUGCACGAAAGCGUGGGGAGCAAACA